UACGUAGGGUGCGAGCGUUGUCCGGAAUUACUGGGCGUAAAGAGCUCGUAGGUGGUUUGUCGCGUCUGCCGUGAAAUUUCGAGGCUCAACCUCGAACUUGCGGUGGGUACGGGCAGACUAGAGUGUGGUAGGGGAGACUGGAAUUCCUGGUGUAGCGGUGAAAUGCGCAGAUAUCAGGAGGAACACCGAUGGCGAAGGCAGGUCUCUGGGCCACUACUGACGCUGAGAAGCGAAAGCAUGGGGAGCGAACAGG
rnacentral:rRNA from 1 species